ACACACACACACACACACACACACACACACACACACACACACACACACACACACACACACACACACACACACACACACACACACACACACACCUAGUGAUACAUUUAUUGACAGGCACCUGCUUCAUGGCAACACCAACAUGCCCCCCUCCUCCCCCUCUCCCUCUCUACAUUGAAAGGAAGGGUUAGGUCAUGGCAGUUUGGGAGGAUUGCCACUCAUGAAAUUACAGAACUUGUUUUGCUUUUGUUUCUUUUCUUUUCUUCAUUUUCCACUUUUAUUAUGGUGUCUUUUUUUUUUCUUUGAAGCAACAAUGUCAAUCCAUUGUCAGCACUAUGAAAGAGCUCUCUUGAUGUGCAAUUAUUUAAUGUGGUCAGAGUUUUAGCUUUAAUUAUUACUACUACAACAUUUAAAUCUCUGUAAUUUGAAAUCUUUCAUUUUGACUACUGGUAAUCUGUUAAUCCCAGCACAGUCGCAUCUAUUUGAAUAGGGAAAAGCUCCCUCAAUUUAGAACUCCUAUAAUUGCACAACUGCUAUUUAAAAAAAAAAAUUUUCACUUCCAUAGGUCGCUAUUCAAACAAACUAAAGUCAAGGUCUAGUGAGUUGCUAGCUAUCAUAACGACAGCAGCAGUUCAGCCUUUUAGCUUUGCAUGAUAUGUUAGGCCCACAGCGCAUGCAUCUUAUCUUCACAGAACCAAGAUAAACUGCUGUGCGAUCAACAUUUUAGCAUACUGUCAUCACAUGCUGUACUUCAGUGGAUAAGCAAAUUAUUGGUACAGUAACAAAUUAGACUUCAAGGCGUUCUACAUCGCCAACGAAGGUUGGAAUCAGCCACACUUGCUCAGUGAUCUGCAGUUUCAGAGACAGCAUUCGUAAACGUGCAUGGUAAGGCACUAUCUUUUGGAGAUAGGGUGUAGUCGCUGUUCAAUAAUUCGGGCAGUUUUUUUGUGGAAAUUUUAGACGCCUUGCGGCCCACUGCUUGAGAAUGUGGACAGCAUCCUGCUCUGCCGGCACAACUGCGCGUCGAAUCAACCACCAAACCACGGCACAAAUCCUGCUGUUAAGUUCUUAAAGACUGUGUUUGCGGUUUUAUGGGAUUUUUGUGUGUCCAGAUUUGUUCUUUAUGUGCUAAAUUGUGACAUAGUCUUGCACAGCAUCUCUGACUGCUCCUGCGAAUUUUUUUCAUCCGCAAUCAAGCACCUUAAAACAGCGCCAACUUCGCCCUCAGUAUCUCUGUUGAAGGGGGUGGAGGGAACUUCCGGACAAUGAAUCAUUGAAUAAUAUUUUCACGGGUCUGUAUUAUACACGGGAACGUAACGCGUGAGUAUAUGAUGUAUAUAUGUAUAUACAGUGUACACUCUUUAAACGGAACCUUAAGGAACCAGGAAAAUUGGUUCCGUUUAUCAGGAGUUCCAUUUACCGAGAGACGAAGCUAAAUAAAAUCACAUGAAUACAGUCUACACUCAUUACAAUGGACCCGCAUACAGGAGACUUUUCGAUAUAACGGACCGUAUUUCAGCUUUGUUUGUUCAACCUACAUUAUUAAUGCAACAAAGUUUGCUUUUAUUGAACCAAGCUACAACAGACCAUCGGCUACAGCAGACGAAAUUAGUGGAAAUUUUUUUCAAAGUCGGCUGUGUAAAACAUACUUUUGUCGUGUCAACAUGGGUUGACAACUGUCUUGCAAGGGUCAGCUGAUAUCGGGGUUCAGUAUCGGGUGCAUGAUGAAGGAAGGCGGGGCAGAAAUGCACCGUCUUCGUUUGCGCGCAAGGCACACGGAGUUCUGUUUGGCGGCUGCUGCUUACGGCGCGGCCACCGUAUCUUGAAAUCGACCUGAGAUGUGGAUAAAGUGCGCACCCGCACAGGCCUCAUCUUUAAAACGAUUGUGAUGUGCAAAAAGUGUGCCCCGUGCCAGUAGCUUCGUACGUGCUGUGCUUUCGACGUUUAGUUCGCGUUGAAGUGAGACACAGCACGAAGGUAAAUUCGCUCGUCACUGAUGCCGUGCUUAUCUUGCUUAAUUUGCUAUUGCAAUCAAUGCUUCGUGUUUCAGGUGUAACUGCGACUUUUUUGUUUGUUUUUUACUUUGCACAUUUGUUGCUCACUCUUUGAAUUAAAAUUGUUUCAAAAGUUAUUCGAAAGUUUUGGAAGUGAGGCGUUUCGGAUAUUACGAACUUUGGAUAAAACAGAAGCUUUUUUGUCAGAUUAUUAGGGUCCGUUGUAACGAGAGUCGACUGUACAAAAUCAACCAACCACGAGGAUGGUGUUCCGUUUAAGGACAGUUCCAUUUAAGAAUUUCCAUUUAUUGAGAUUCCACUGUAGAUAUACAGGUUGUCCCAUAUAACUUGAUCCAAGGUUUUAAAAAUGAGAGGCACUCUGGAUGCGAGUUGAAACGAAUGCAUAAUGUUGGCACCUGCCUAGAGUUACUCAGGCUUUUUUUUAUUUUCCCCUUAAAACUAACGGGUUAGUUAUGUUUCAUUAAUCAACUUUUUAAGUAUUGGCUGCAGACCCCAAGUGUUAUAUUCAAAGUUGUAGAACACGUUGAGAAACCUCUCCAUACAUUGUUUCCAACACGAUAUAUCUCACGUGGUCCUUUUUUCGCGUCCCAAAGAAAGCCCGCGAAAUAUGAAAAAAUACCCUGUAACGAGGUGCUUGCGCACUGUUAUUGUGCUGCUCUCAAGCGUGCGAUGGAUGAACAAGAUCGGCUGCAGCGAGACUGGCCUGCGACAGGGCAUUAUGCUUGGUGAGGUGUCUAGGCAUGCAGCUCUUAUCGCGUGACGGUGCAAAUGCAGAUUUAACUCCCCUCAAUCUCUUUCUCGGGGGCUACGUCAAGGAUCAAGUAUACUGAACGCCAACCACAACCUCAGAGAACCUAAAAGAAAAAAGACAAGUCUGCAACUCCAUCCCUGAUACCGUGAUCAAGAACGCCUCAGAAAAUGUGCCUAUGAGAUGCCAAAUGUGCAUUGCAGCAGAUGGUGACCUCUUCGAACACGGAUUAUAAUUAAAGGGCGCUUUUUGGAUUGAA